CUCUCUCAGCCUCACCACCACCAACCAGCUCUCUUUCUUCUUCCUGGCAACAGGUCUCACAAGUCCAUAUCCCUCCCUUCAAUCACCGCCGUCCAUGCGGCCGAGCCCGCUAAGAAUACUGUCUCAGUGAAAGAGUCCAGGGCACCAUCAGCCCCGGGCACUGGCAAAUGGACGCUGGACAGCUGGAAGACGAAGAAAGCUUUGCAGCUUCCGGAAUACCCUGAUGCGAAUGAGCUGGAGUCUGUGUUGAAGACUAUUGAGACAUUUCCGCCAAUUGUUUUCGCUGGGGAAGCCAGGAGUUUGGAAGAGAGGCUCGCUGAGGCUGCCAUGGGGAAUGCAUUUUUGUUGCAAGGUGGUGAUUGUGCAGAGAGUUUCAAGGAGUUUAGCGCUAAUAACAUAAGGGAUACUUUUAGAAUUCUGCUUCAGAUGGGUGUUGUGCUUAUGUUUGG
rnacentral:misc_RNA from 1 species